GGUGACUAAAACUGGAUGCAUUAUUCCAAGUGUGGUCUUACCACGGCAUUAUGGAAUGGUACUAAAACUUCCUGUGAGCUUAGUUCUGUUCCUGUUCACGCAGUCUAGGACUGUGUUGGCUUUUUUGGCAGCUGCCAGCACACUACUGGCUCAUAUUUAAGCAGUUGUCCACUUAAAUGUUAUUUUAAGUAUAACUUUAAAAUGUAAUUUAGUUCCAGUGUUAUUGUAGGAGACAUGGAUAGUGUGUGUGUGUACAUAUAGCAAUUGCAUAGGUAAUGCUAAUUUUCAUACUGAAAUUCCCACAGGUUUCUAUACUCUGGCACAAUCCAAAAUAUCUGCUCUGGGUAUCUAAUGUAGCUGCACCUAUAUUAAAUCUGUUAUUUAUGUGCUAAAAGCUUUGCUUGGUAGAGAGAACCUUGUCUUGUGUCACUGAUGAAACUUGGGGGAAGUCCAGCAUGAUUGAUAUUAAUUCAUUAAAGCCAUACUUCAAUAUAUUAUUUCUGAAUUGUUAACUUGAUACUGCUUUCCUUUAGGUGGGCAAAAAGAUUUUUCCCCUUCCUUUUCAGGUUGAUAUUGCCUCAGGAAUGGCUAUUGAAAGAAUGUGUUAUGCCCAGAAUCUCCCUACCAGAGACCGUCAGGAAGGAAUGGCUGCUUUCAAUGAGAAACGACUUCCAAAAUUCACUGGUAAAUGAGCUGUUUCUGAAAAUGCCUGAAUACAAGAUGAUCCAAAGGCAGUGCCUUAUUGGAAAACUUUUCCUUAUAAGCUUUAUACAUAUAUGUAUAUAUUUGCUUGAAAUCUACUUUGGAUGUCAAGAACUAAAUAGUGAUAAUGUAAAGGGUAUUACUGUUCAAAUAUGACAGUAAUAAAAAAAAAUCAUGUUCCAACCAAAGCAUGCAUCUAUGAGCAAAUUUCUGUGCCCGAGGGGGAAUAAAACCGACAAUUGCUGCACAAGAAAACUUUUAUCCAAUAGAACAGCAGCAAUUGUUGACUUCGCAGUCUCUUUUUCUGUCACAAAGUUCACUUAGGAACAGAUUUCAGUUGGUAAAUGAGGAGAAACUGUAUCAUCCCAAAGAGCAACCUACUGCAUUUGUUAAGAUUUUUUUAUACACAAUGUACAAAAAACUAAUAUUCUUCUCUAAAAUUUUUUUGCAAUAAUGUAUAAAGUCACCUUUGAGUCAGGUUCAGAUUUUGGUAAGUUAUAUGGAUGAACCUAAUGCAGUUUUCUUGGUAUAGAUGGAGUGGUUUGCUAUUAUCACCUUUGAGGAUUUUUUUACUGGCUACCAAAUGCAGAAUGUAUUUAUGUAAUUCCCUAAACAUUUAAGAACUUGUUAUUAUAUGACAAAAUAUAAAACUAUAUGCAUUUUCUUUGCAUUUUUGAAUUAUAUAAAACUCAGAAUUAAAAGACUUAACAUGUGUAA